UGAAUUCCUAAGCAAUAGAAACAGGCGGAAAACCACCUAUUAACUCUGCAUUGGUUAGUAGCUUCUAGGUUAUUGACAUAUUUAUCAGUAAAAUUUAGGCCUUGAUAAGGAUAUUAUUAAACUUGAAAUUUAAUAUUCCUUGAUUUAGGAAUACAUUUGGAUUGAGUAUGUCUAGGCUUGGCUGGUAGACUAUUAAGAUGUAAAUUAAAUAUGAAGCAGGUGGUUUAUAUAACGUGAAUAUUAG
rnacentral:lncRNA from 1 species